AUGGAGUCUUAUAGCCCAGGUCUUACCCAAGUCAGGAAGCAGGAGUGUUGGGUGCUAGCCAUGCGCCUGCUGUCUGUGUACCUGCACAUCCUGGUACCCCACCUAUCCUCUGCCCUGCACUUAUGGAAAUCUUCGGGCAAAUUUUUUACCUACAAGGAACUGCACAUCUUCUACCAAGAUGCUGUGGGAGUGGUUGGAAUUCCAGAGAUAAUUGUGUUUUCCAGCAUCCAGCUAUGAUUGGUGUAUGAUACGGGAAGAUCUGACCCUGAGGUUCCAGCGAAUGAUUGCCCUUGAUUUUCCAGGCUUUGGCUUUAGUGACAAACCAAGGCCACAUCACUACUCCAUUUUUGAGCAGGCACUUUUGUGGCACCUGAGGCUCCAGAACCAUAGGGUCAAUUACCAUAAAGAGUCUCUGUCUGUCAAAUGAAGGUAUCUUUCCUGAAACUUACCAUCCUCUCCUUCUCCAAAAGCUACUCAAGGACAAAGGUGUGCUGUCCCCCUUCCUCACAUGGCUGAUGAACUUUUUUGUAUUCUUUUGAAGUCUCAUUCCAGUAUUUGGGCUAUACACUUGGCCCUCGGAGAUUGAGCUUUGGCACAUGUGGGCAGAGAUUCGCAACAAUGAUGGGAACCUUGUUAUUGACAGUCUCUUACAGUGCAUCAGUCAGAGGAAGAAGUUUAGAAGCUCCUGGGUGGGAGCUUUGGCCUCUGUAAUUGUUUCCAUUCAUUUUAUUUAUGAGCCAUUGGAUCCUGUAAAUCCCUAUUCAGAGUUUUUGGAGCUGUACAGGAGUAUGCUGCUGCAGUGCACAGUGUUAAUUCUGGAAGACCGCAUUAGCCACUAUCCACAGCUAAAGGACCCCAUGGGUUUGUUGAAUGCAUAUAUGGGCUUCAUCAACUCCUAAACUGGAAAGAGUAGCUUCCCUGUAUUACCUUUCCUACUCCCUUUUCUGUGUAUUCCACUUUGGAAGAAGUGUCCAAAAGACGUCCUGGCCAUCAAACACUAUUCUCUCACAAAGUCUACUUUACUAGCUGGUGAACAGUGUAUAGGAAAAGGCCAGCAGGAGCUCCGAGUAAGGUUGACCUAAGAGUCCACCUUUCAUUCCUUUGACAUCUGAUCAAGUCUAUGAACAACCUUUAUUUCUGUGUUAUUAGGAAAUUCUGAUGAGCACUACUAUUCACUGAUAUAGAAAGACAGAUUAUUUUGCAUAAAAGACUUUU